CCUACGGGAGGCAGCAGUGAGGAAUAUUGGUCAAUGGGCGCGAGCCUGAACCAGCCAAGUCGCGUGAAUGAUGAAGGAUCUCUGGUUUGUAAACUUCUUCUAUCGGGGAAUAAAGUGUGGAAUGUGUUCCUUUUUGUAUGUACCAUAUCAAUAAACAUAGGCUAACUCCGUGCCAGCAGCCGCGGUAAUACGGAGGGUGCGAGCGUUACCCGGAUUUAUUGGGUUUAACGGGUGCGUAGGUGGUUAAUUAAGUCAGCGGUGAAAGUUUGUGGCUCAACCAUAAAAUUGCCGUUGAAACUGGUCAACUUGAGUAUAGUUGAGGGAGGCAGAAUGCGAGGUGUAGCGGUGAAAUGCAUAGAGAUCACGCAGAACUCCGAUUGCGAAGGCAGCUCACUAAACAAUAACUGACACUGAGGCACGAAAGCGUGGGGAGCAAACAGGAUUAGAUACCCAUGUAGUC
rnacentral:rRNA from 1 species